rnacentral:rRNA from 1 species
GAUGAACGCUGGCGGCGUGCCUAAUACAUGCAAGUCGAGCGAACGGACGAGAAGCUUGCUUUUCUGAUGUUAGCGGCGGACGGGUGAGUAACACGUGGAUAACCUACCUAUAAGACUGGGAUAACUUCGGGAAACCGGAGCUAAUACCGGAUAAUAUUUUGAACCGCAUGGUUCAAAAGUGAAAGACGGUCUUGCUGUCACUUAUAGAUGGAUCCGCGCUGCAUUAGCUAGUUGGUAAGGUAACGGCUUACCAAGGCAACGAUGCAUAGCCGACCUGAGAGGGUGAUCGGCCACACUGGAACUGAGACACGGUCCAGACUCCUACGGGAGGCAGCAGUAGGGAAUCUUCCGCAAUGGGCGGAAGCCUGACGGAGCAACGCCGCGUGAGUGAUGAAGGUCUUCGGAUCGUAAAACUCUGUUAUUAGGGAAGAACAUAUGUGUAAGUAACUGUGCACAUCUUGACGGUACCUAAUCAGGAAGCCACGGCUAACUACGUG